ACCCUUGAAAGAUAAUAGUAA
rnacentral:tRNA from 1 species